rnacentral:rRNA from 1 species
AACGAACGCUGGCGGCAUGCCUAACACAUGCAAGUCGAACGAGACCUUCGGGUCUAGUGGCGCACGGGUGCGUAACGCGUGGGAACCUGCCCUUAGGUUCGGAAUAACUCCCCGAAAGGGGUGCUAAUACCGGAUAAUGUCUUCGGACCAAAGAUUUAUCGCCUUUGGAUGGGCCCGCGUUGGAUUAGCUGGUUGGUAGGGUAAAAGCCUACCAAGGCGACGAUCCAUAGCUGGGCUGAGAGGCUGAUCAGCCACACUGGGACUGAGACACGGCCCAGACUCCUACGGGAUGCAGCAGUGGGGAAUAUUGGACAAUGGGCGAAAGCCUGAUCCAGCAAUGCCGCGUGAGUGAUGAAGGCCUUAGGGUUGUAAAGCUCUUUUACCCGGGAUGAUAAUGACAGUACCGGGAGAAUAAGCUCCGGCUAACUCCGUG